rnacentral:sRNA from 1 species
CUCCGGCUGUUAGGGGAUCUAACCCCCAUCUGCAAACAUUUACAUUUACACGAGUGGAACUGGGUGAAAAGCCAUUGCGCAUCAUUGGAGUCAAGGUUCACCCAGGUCAGAGAAAAGAGCAGAUCCUGCUGGACUUGAACAUCAGGUAAUACCACUCACCACUCUUACUGCUUCCCCUUCAAUGUGUCCUGGUCAGUCCAGGCUACUUCACUCCCCUUCCCCGCAACUUCAGCCAAGGACUAACUCUCUUGGUUCUCUUCUUUACCAAUCCCCAGCUAUGUAGGUGAUGUGCAGAUUGAUGUGGAAGUGAAAAAAUAUUUUUGCAAAGCAGGAGUCAAGGGCAUGCAGCUACAUGGCGUUUUGCGGGUGAUACUGGAGCCACUCAUUGGGGACCUUCCCAUCGUGGGGGCUGUGUCAAUGUUCUUCAUCCGACGCCCGACCCUAGACAUCAACUGGACAGGGAUGACCAACCUGCUGGAUAUCCCAGGACUUAGCUCACUCUCUGACACCAUGAUCAUGGACUCCAUUGCUGCCUUCCUCGUGUUGCCCAAUCGAUUACUGGUGCCCCUUGUGCCU